GCCAGACUCCUACGGGAGGCAGCAGUGAGGAAUAUUGGUCAAUGGCCGAGAGGCUGAACCAGCCAAGUCGCGUGAGGGAAGACGGCCCUACGGGUUGUAAACCUCUUUUGUCGGGGAGCAAAGCGAACCACGUGUGGUUCAUUGAGAGUACCCGAAGAAAAAGCAUCGGCUAACUCCGUGCCAGCAGCCGCGGUAAUACGGAGGAUGCGAGCGUUAUCCGGAUUUAUUGGGUUUAAAGGGUGCGCAGGCGGAGGUGCAAGUCAGCGGUCAAAUUGCGGGGCUCAACCCCGUACUGCCGUUGAAACUGCAUCCCUUGAGUGCGCGAGAAGUAUGCGGAAUGCGUGGUGUAGCGGUGAAAUGCUUAGAUAUUGCGCAGAACUCCGAUUGCGAAGGCAGCAUACCGGCGGCGAUCUGACGCUGAGGCACGAAAGCGUGGGUAUCGAACAGGAUUAGAUACCCUAGUA
rnacentral:rRNA from 1 species